UGGGCAACCUGCCCUGCACUCUGGGAUAAACUUCGGGAAACCGGAGCUAAUACCGGAUAACAUCCUCCUCCGCAUGGUGGGGGGUUGAAAGUUCCGGCGGUGCAGGAUGGGCGCGCGGCCUAUCAGCUUGUUGGUGGGGUAGUGGCCUACCAAGGCGACGACGGGUAGCCGGCCUGAGAGGGCGACCGGCCACACUGGGACUGAGACACGGCCCAGACUCCUACGGGAGGCA
rnacentral:rRNA from 1 species